GACGAACGCUGGCGGCGUGCCUAAUACAUGCAAGUUGAGCGCUGAAGGUUGGUACUUGUACCGACUGGAUGAGCAGCGAACGGGUGAGUAACGCGUGGGGAAUCUGCCUUUGAGCGGGGGACAACAUUUGGAAACGAAUGCUAAUACCGCAUAAAAACUUUAAACACAAGUUUUAAGUUUGAAAGAUGCAAUUGCAUCACUCAAAGAUGAUCCCGCGUUGUAUUAGCUAGUUGGUGAGGUAAAGGCUCACCAAGGCGAUGAUACAUAGCCGACCUGAGAGGGUGAUCGGCCACAUUGGGACUGAGACACGGCCCAAACUCCUACGGGAGGCAGCAGUAGGGAAUCUUAGGCAAUGGAAGAAAGUCUGACCGAGCAACGCCGCGUGAGUGAAGAAGGUUUUCGGAUCGUAAAACUCUGUUGGUAGAGAAGAACGUUGGUGAGAGUGGAAAGCUCAUAAAGUGACGGUAACUACCCAGAAAGGGACGGCUAACUACGUG
rnacentral:rRNA from 1 species